UGCUGCUCAUCUCGCUGGCCUUCGCG
rnacentral:piRNA from 1 species